UUCUUUUAGCCCUUUGAUGGUGUUGUUGCUGGGGUCCAGGAUCAGAACUAUCUGGUGGAUGACAAUGCUGAUCUGGUGGAUGACCCAGUGCUGCUACAGUAGAGAUGUCUCCCCACAGCACUGGGAGAAGUUGCACCAUUUUCUUCAUACGCCCUGGUGCCUAGGCGCUUUGUGGAGGUUUUAUGAGUUACCAUGUGUUUGUUCAGGUUACUUUUUUGUCCAAAUCUUUGACCACAUUCAGAACAGACAAAUGAUUUUUGUCCCGUAUGAGUUAUCAUGUGUCGGUUCAGGUUGCCCUUUAGUCCAAAUCUUAGACCACAUUCAGAACAGACAAACUGCUUUUGUCCUGUAUGAUUUAUCAUGUGGUUGGUCAGGUAGCUCUUUCGUCCAAAUCUUCGACCACAUUCAGAACAGACAAACUGCUUUUGUCCUGUAUGAAUGAUCAUGUGUGUUUUCAGGUUGCCCUUUAGUCCAAAUCUUCGACC